UAUUCUUCAGUUCCUUCCCCUAAGAGUCUAGUCCCCUGAAGCCGUCCUCUGUCUCCUUCACUCGCUCGUGGUCCCGCCGUGUCCUGGGGUCCGCUCCUGGCACCGGUCCGGCUGGUGCUGGUCCUCCUUCAGUCCACACUGGGGAAAGCUCCUCCUUCCCGGUUUUGAUGAGGUCCGUUAGCGACCUCCCUGGCUCCUGCGCUGGUGUACACUGGCUCCAAUGGUACCAGGUCUCUCCUUUGUCCCUCAUGCGGACCGCAUGACUCGUUCUCUCCACCACCUGAUGAGGACCCGUCCACCUUGGGUCCGACCACUUUCUACCUUUCCCUGGGACUGUGGAUGGUACACAGUGCCAAAAGCAUGUUUUAGGCCCAAUAAGCUCUCUACCUUCUGUAAAUCACUGUUCUUAAAGUGAGUCCCAUUGUCUGACCUAAUUUUCUCUGGGAAGCCGUGUCUGGGAAUGUACUGGUUCACUAAACACUUGAUCACUGUCUGACUGUCCUCCCUUCGUGCUGGCCAGGCUUCUGGCCACCCUGUGAACAUGUCCACACACACUAACAUGUAGCGGCACCCCCGUACUGUUUAGUCUACCAUGUCCGUGUAGUCUAUCACUAUCUCUUGUCCAGGUCUCGUCGUCAUGGGGAACGCCCCCAUCUCAGGUUUGAUCGUCGGUUUUGGAUUGUGGUGAGUGCAGAUGGUGCAUGUCCUAGUGUAGUUACGUACCAUGUCUACCAUAAUUGGUUCCUCAACAUCUGUGCUGGCCCUACAUGGCCCAACCCGUGGGCUUCUGCAAAUUUAUCUCCCCGCAUGGCUGGUGGAAGUAUUACUCUACCGUCUGGCCCUCUCCAGAGCCCGCUCGUCUCUGUUGCUCCUCUCUGUUGCCAAAUUGUUUUCUCUUGUAGGGAAGCCCCCUUUUGAUGUCUCACUAGCUCGUCUCUCUCAGAGCCUUCUCCCCCUUUUUUUCUGAAACAGGACCCCGUUCAUGACUCAUCCUGUUUCAGAAAAAUCUAGAAAAAAGGUGUUGUGUAGUCUGGUAUGGCCAGAUCAGCUGCGGUGGCUAGUUGUUGUUUCAGCAAAAUGAAGGCCUGGUCGGCCGGGCAAGUCCAAUUGAGAGUGGCUUUAAGUUUACGCAUUCCCUGCUCCUUAACUAGCGCUCUAAGUGGCUCUGUGAGCCCUGAAUAGUUUGGGGAGCCCCAGGAAUGAUAGCAUUUCCUGAACAGUAGUGGGUUUAGGAUGGUGGAGGAUGGUUGUGCGGUGAGCUGAGGAAAGCCCCGCUCCUUUCUGCAAGAUUACUCUGCCCAGAAAGGAGACCUGCGUCCUUACCAGCUGUAGCUUUUCUUUUGAUACCUUGAACCCUUUCUCUGCCAGUCUGGUGAGGACCGUCAUUGUAGCUUGGAUGCAGGCGGCCACCGUCGGGGCCGCCAUUGUCGCCCCUAUGUGUGAAAGAAAAAAUAUCACGAAGUUCCUCUGCUAGUGGGAGACAGAAAAAAGCGUUAGCCAGGUCAAUGCAGGUGAACCAUUUUUACGUCUUACAGCUGUGUGAGUACCAUACGUUUGGCGCCUGAGUGAGUGUCCAAUCAGUACAUUUGACCGCCCUUUUAACCAUGGGCCCCAGGUCUUUUGCUUGGUGUUUAGGAUGCAGGGCCAGUGACACAUGCGGGACGGACUCCUCCGCCAUCAUGUACCACUGAUCCUGCUCCUCUGUUAACUGUACAUCUGCCGCUACCCCUUCAGGGCCUACAUAUAUGAAUUUAGACCCGACCUGCCACGUGUCCCCACACACUACAUCCCCAAACCCCUCUCUAUACACCUCAUCGCCCUGCCGAUCAUAAAAUAGGGUUACAUGUGGGGGGUCUGGCGGAGGAAAGUACGGCUCGAGGAGGGAGAUCCACGGCCUCCACUUGAAGUCGAUGUCCCGUCUGGUAACGUGACAGUUAGUCCAUCUGGAGAACACAAGAUAUUAGCCCCCAGUUUUAUCAACAAGUCUCUCCCCAAUAAGUUCACUGGUGUGUUUGUCGACACCACAUACGGAUGGCUGAGGGCCUGUUUACCCAGUAUCGUUUUAAGAGGAAAUGUCACUGGCAAAGUCUGUCCCACUCCUUCAAACCCCACAACUUCCACUGUCUUGGAGGAUAGUAGUCCUGUGACGGGAGGGGCGGUGAUGGUGGAAAACGUGGCACCUGUGUCAACCAGAAAGGGGAAGUCCUUCCCGUCGACAUUCAGGGACAGCAUAGGGUCUGCCCUUCCCCCGCUGUCCCCUCCCCUCCCUGUAGACCGUCACGCCUGGUCCCACCCUCCCUCAUAAGAGAGUGGGUAUUGUCCAGGUGCACUAGGUGGUGGGACGGCGUGUGGGUUGGGAACUGGAGCUGCCCCUUGGUUUGGGUAUCCUCUGCCCCCUGCAGUGUUCUGUGGGCACUCUCUGGACCAGUGGUUCGGGUCACCACACGUAAAGCAGGCUCCGUAUGGGACUUGGGCUCCUGGAGCCCCUCUGCCUCUACCCCGCCCCCUCCCCCUACCAUAACCUCCCCUUGGAGUCCCUGGUCGAUAGGGCGCGGUGAAUGCCCCCUGGCCACUGUGAGGUUGGGGUGCCUAUGUGGGAACAGGGUAUAAAUCGGGUGUGUCAGGUUCUCCUGAGCCUAGGGCUGCCAUCUGUCUGUGUUUCUUUUUCCCUUCAUUGAAUCUCACUUUGGCUUCACCCAGCUGUAAGCGCAACAGGUUCUCCCUCAGUUCCCGUAUCUGUUUGUCCUUCUCUGUCUCCUCAUCUUUUGCCCUCUGUAAAUGAUGCACUAUGUGUCUUUCCCAUACGUGUGAUUCACUACCCGGCAAGUCAGGAUUUGCCAUCAUUGCCUCUUUUAUUUUCUCUGGAAGUCCCUCUAAGACCGCCCUUCUAAACCACUCCUGCUGCAGACCUCCCUUCCCCGGGUGGUGCCCUGUGUGUUUGGCCCAUGUGUCCUUACAUGCUUCUAGAUACUGUCUAGGGUGUUGCUCUUUUUCCCAAGGUAACUUGGGCAUCGGGGCCCCAGCGGGCAAGGGAAAUCGUUCCCUCAGGGCCGUGGCUAUGCGCCCGACCACCUGACUGAAAGGAGUGUCGUCAGGGCUCCGCCUAGUGGCGGCCCCUUUUUCUAUCUCAGUCAUGGCCUGGGCGGACACGACUCGGGCGGCUGCUGCCCUCCAGUCCCCCAGUGCCAACAUUUGACCAGCUGUGAGUUUAUCAAAUUGUGACAACCAUAGUCCACCUCCCUCUCCCAUCGGGGGUAAUUUAUCUACCAAUGCCUGUACGUCUCCCAGCCCCAGUGGUUUAUAUCGCGGUUCGCCGCCUCCCACUCUAAAGAGAGGCAGCUGAAACCCAGCACAACCAGCUUCCCCUGCUUGUGACCGCGUAAACAUUUUAUUUUGUGUCUUUUGAAUUGAUUCUACUGCGUCAUGAGGGUAUACAUCUACGUCUCCCUUACUCCCGUCUCCACUAAUGUCUGCGUCAGGGUCUUCGUCUGAGUCAGUCCAUCUCCCUACUGCUUGCCCCGUGAGUAACACCCGUCCUUUAUGUGAAUUUCCCUUUUUCUGCCUAGUUUUUGUCCUACUCACUGUGUCACUAUCGUCCGACCCCGACCUUGAGUCCUCACCUAACCUGCCUUUAGUACGGCCUGAUCUUUUCUUUCUGGCCCCUGUAAUCUCAUCCUGUCUAUUAUCUCCUAGUCGUCUCCCCUUCUCGCUCCUCUUUCUCUGCCCUUGCCUUGAACGGUUUCACCUCCCCCUCAGCAUCUGUCUCGCUCUCUGACUCCGCCUUCCUACUCAACUUAUCUCUUAUCUUGCUUUCCUGUGAAUUGAGUUAUGGGCCUGCUGUUCUGUGUGUCUAAAGACAAUAUCCCCUUCUCUAAACAUAACACUGGAUAUAAUGGUGCCCGGUCUGUACCGAGUACAAGGUCAUCUUCAUAUGCUGGGGGUUCUAUCUCUCCUCCCUUUUCUCCUCCUUAAUUUUCCCAUGUCCAGUCAAGUGGCUCCUGGCUGUUACAGUCAUGGAUGUAGGAGCCUCUUUGUUCUGCAUGCGUCUCUCCAUUCCUCCACCCUCUCCUUGACUGUGGUGCAGCUGGAACCAUCAGUGUCCAAUAUUCUUAUUCUGAACCCAAGGCAGUUUCUCAAAGGUCUGGGCUUGGUUUGGCCUUAGAAUGAUCUGGGCCAUCUGUGUGAGGUACCCCUUUAUUGGACAAGGUGUAUCAGGGUUGCAGGAUUCAGGACUCCUACUCUGUAAGAAACAAAGAUGGAAUCUUGCACAACACAAAGUUAAAACCUUGACUGGAGAGUUUUAGCAUUAACUUACUGAAUUUAAAGUUAUGUGUUGGUCAACAAUUUUAAACCCCAAUCUAAUGGCUAUCUCUUAUAAAUGUCCUAAAUUGGGAAUUACUAUUUUACCAAUGUUUCAUAAAUGUUGCACUCAUUUUCUUUACAUUUAACACUGGCCAGUUGAUUCUAAUUUGACAUGUCUUUGUCGUGUUUCAUAAUUUAGAUGAGCUCAAUUUUUCAUACAAUUUCGUGUACACAGAAUUCUCCAAUUGGAAUGGGAAAGCAAUUGCCAUUUUAAUAUUACAAUAUAGAACCUGAUUUUGCUCUAUUUUGAUUUAUUUUAACAUUGGGAAUCUACUUCCCUGAAUUUCAUUUGGUGUGUCUGUCAUCUUUUGCACCUCUCUCCUAGAGUGUCUCUGUGUUCUGGAUUGGGAUGCUUAGAGUUACUCCCUACUUUCUGGGACGGCAGCCAAAAGCCGUCUUAUCUAUUUGACUCCUCUCACUAUCCUUUAACUGGACUCAUUCAAACUUAACCAACAGACCACCUUUACAAUAUUUUCAAACAAUUGAAUUAAACCACUUUAAAGAAAACUAUGUUUACACAAAUAAUUACCCAAAACUUGACCAAAACCUUUGUCCACUGUUGAAUACUUUCUCGUGGCACCUCUCCCACUAAAUCUUUGUCUAUCUGGCUAUUUUCUUCAUUAACCCUUCUUCC
ensembl:lncRNA